rnacentral:RNase_MRP_RNA from 1 species
GAACACGAUUUAGAAUUGCAAAGUCAAGUGGAUUUCCGUAAGGAAAUGACUUGGGGAAAUUCCCCGGACACCAAGGUAGAGAGUACCAGCGUUAGCUCGUGGUCCCCUCGCUAUGAAGCCUCUGUGGGCGACGAAGGGUAUCUUUUCGAAGAUAUCUGGAGCUUCUAUGGUGAAUUUGGCGAGAAUGAUUGUCCGAAUAAAAGUUAUGCAAUUGGCUUCAUGAUCCUGGCAGAGUCGUGCUGUCUUCAUGUGUAAGCUAACUCGACGGGGAUUACUCAAAUCGUGUU